GCAACGGUAACGCAGCGCCGGAGUCCUGCAUUUACAAAAGUGCCUUCGAAACGCAUGAAACGCGCUAGCCCCAGCUACAGCCCUGCAGGCGUGGCAAGCACUUUGCGCGCUAGCGAACAGCUUGGUCUUGCUUUAUUUUAUAUAACGAUUAUGUCGUUCCCCUAGGGUUGCAACCCGAGAACUCCUAUUACAGAGCCGCCCAACUCUCAAUCCAACUCCGUGACAACAGUCAACGGCAUUAACUACCAAUCAAGGAGGCCAUGGAAAGAGCGGGGAACAUGAUUCUCCUAGCUUUC
rnacentral:lncRNA from 1 species